rnacentral:tRNA from 1 species
GGGGGGUUGUCCGAGUGGCUUAGGGGCGGCCUGCAGAGCCCGCGACAGGGGUUCGAUUCCCCUACCCCCCU